GAGAUGAGAACAGAGGAGUAGUGUUCUCUGCUGGCUCAAACACCCUCUGCUUUGUUUUUAACUGAGGGGUGAAUGUAGAUAUGGAAUUUCACAGACUUCAAAAUGCUUUACACAGCAGCGCACUGGACACUACUGUGACUUACAUGAUGCACAAUGCAGCUUGCUCCUAAGGGAAACCACAGUGCAUCAUGGGAGAUGAAGUCUGGCCUGGGUGCCUGGUCCACAGGAGAGAAUGGAGCUUUGAAGCUUCCUAAUGGCAACUCUGAGGCAUGACAGCACUUGACUCCAUUUGCCACCUCCUAACUUUGGGUACAUGAGCCCCCACCUGCAGAAAAAAAAAGGAAACAAAAUCCUAAAUAUUCCUUUUUAACCAUCUUAAGGAUCAGAUCCUCUGCAAUCAAGCUAAAGAAAAUAUUGAAGUAGUCCUGCAGAACCAGCGGAACCCUGAGAGAUGGAAUGGCAUUCUACUUUCACUCAUGCAUUAUGAACAGGAGACAAGGCAGCCUGCUUCUUAUUUACAAUGUCACCUGAGAGUCAGAACAGUCAUCUGCAUGGC